rnacentral:rRNA from 1 species
UACGUAGGGUGCGAGCGUUGUCCGGAAUUACUGGGCGUAAAGAGCUCGUAGGUGGUUUGUCGCGUUGUUCGUGAAAACUCACAGCUCAACUGUGGGCGUGCGGGCGAUACGGGCAGACUGGAGUACUGCAGGGGAGACUGGAAUUCCUGGUGUAGCGGUGGAAUGCGCAGAUAUCAGGAGGAACACCGGUGGCGAAGGCGGGUCUCUGGGCAGUAACUGACGCUGGAGGCACGAAAGCUGGGGGAGCAAACAGG